GAUGAACGCUGGCGGCGUGCUUAACACAUGCAAGUCGAACGGAAAGGCCCUGCUUUCGUGGGGUUCUCGAGUGGGGAACGGGUGAGUAACACGUGAGUAACCUGCUCUUGACUUUGGGAUAACUUCAGGAAAGUGGGGCUAAUACCGGAUAGCAGCUGCUGUUGCAUGGUGGGGGUUGGAAAGUUUCGGCGGUCGGGGAUGGAUGGGCGGCUUAUCAGCUUGUUGGUGGGGGAGUGGCUUACCAAGGCAUUGACGGAUAGCCGGCCUGGGAGGGUGACCGGGCACAUUGCGACUAAGGGACGGCGCAGUGUGCUACGGGGGGCAGCGGUGGGGAGUAUUGCCCAAUGGGCGGGAGCGUGAUAAGGCAGCGUCGCGUGCGGAAUGACGGCCUUCGGGUUAUGAACCGCUGUAGGCUGUGACCAAGCGUGUGUGACGGUAAUGAGUGAAGAAGCACCGGCUAACUACGUG
rnacentral:rRNA from 1 species